AUGGAGCCGCAGACCGAUUCGAAGCCCAUUCCGCUGAUGACGCCGUACAAGAUGGGCUCCUCGCUGGACCUCGCCCACCGGGUGGUGCUGGCGCCGCUGACGCGGCAGCGCUCCUACGGCAACGUGCCGCAGCCGCACGCCGCCGUCUACUACGGCCAGCGCGCCACGCCCGGCGGGAUGCUCAUCACGGAGGCCACGGGGGUCUCCGACACGGCGCAGGGCUACACCGACACCCCGGGCGUCUGGACGGCGGAGCAGGUGGAGGCGUGGCGCCCCGUCGUCGACGCCGUGCACGCCAAGGGCGCCCUCUUCUUCUGCCAGCUCUGGCACGUCGGCCGCGUCUCCUCCUACGGCUUCCAGCCGGGCGGCGCCGCGCCCGUGUCCAGCACCCAGAGGAUGGUCGGCCCGCAGGUCAGGCACGACGGCACCACCGAGGAGUUCUCGCCGCCGAGGAGGCUGGCGGCGGAGGAGAUCCCCAUGUUCGUCGACGACUUCAGGAAAGCAGCACGGAACGCCAUCAACGCCGGCUUCGACGGCGUGGAGAUCCACGGCGGCAACGGGUACCUCAUCGAGCAGUUCCUCAAGGACAGUGCCAACGACCGGGACGACGGCUACGGCGGCAGCCUAGAGAACCGGUGCCGCUUCGCGCUCGAGGUGGUGGCGGCUGUCGCAAAGGAGGUGGGCGCCCACCGUGUUGGCAUCCGCCUCUCGCCCUUCAUGGACUAUAUGGACUGCCACGACUCCGACCCCCACGCGCUCGGCCUCCACAUGGCCACGAAGCUCAAUGACCACAACAUCCUCUACCUCCAUAUGAUCGAGCCCCGUAUGGCCCUCGUUGACGGCCGGCGGGAGGUCCCGCACCGGCUGCUGCCCUACAGAGAGGCCUUCAAGGGCACCUUUAUCGCGAAUGGCGGGUAUGACCGGGAAGAGGGGGACAGGGCGGUCGUCUCGGGGUACGCCGACCUCGUCUCAUUUGGGCGGCUCUUCCUUGCAAACCCAGACCUACCAAAGCGGCUAGAGCUCAACGCGCCGCUUAACAAGUACAAUAGGUUGACGUUCUACAUCUCCGAUCCCGUCGUCGGCUACACCGACUACCCGUUUCUUCCUUGA
rnacentral:rRNA from 1 species